rnacentral:rRNA from 1 species
GACGAACCGAGCGAACGUUGUUCGGAAUCACUGGGCUUAAAGGGCGCGUAGGCGGGCUGUCAAGUCUGGGGUGAAAUCCCGCGGCUCAACCGCGGAACUGCCUCAGAUACUGACGGUCUCGAGGGGGGUAGGGGCGAGCGGAACUGAUGGUGGAGCGGUGAAAUGCGUUGAUAUCAUCAGGAACUCCGGUGGCGAAGGCGGCUCGCUGGACCUCUUCUGACGCUGAGGCGCGAAAGCCAGGGGAGCAAACGGG